CCUACUUUACCUUUGUGCUCCUUCUGAUUAUUUCUGCUCCUUUACCUUUGUCCUCCUUGCUGUCCCUUUGUGCUCCUUCCUGCUCCUUGCAGGCCCUUCCUGCUCAUUCUCCUACUUUAUGUUUGUGCUCCUUCUGCCCCUUCCAGCUCAUUUCUGACCCUUUCUGCUCCUUCUACUUUACCUUUGUGCUGCUUUACCUUCCAGCUCCUUGCUGACCCUUCC
rnacentral:lncRNA from 1 species